AAGUUAUGGCUGUAAAAUGAAUUACAAAUUUAUGGAAUCUGCAUCCCUUAUUUUCUUGUUUUCAUGAAAUAAUAUUUUUAGGAUUCUAAUUCAAAUGGUUUUUUUAUUUUGAUAAUUGUUAGGUAGGAUCCAAGGAGCCAGUCUGUUAGGAAGUAUAAACAAAAAUAGGAUACCAGUUUUUUCUAUGUAUUAAUUAAAAAUAUAUAUACCCAAUCAGAAAUUGGUAUAGUUGACACAAGAGCCAGUCAUUUGAAUACCUUCUCAUCCUCGCCUACUGCAAACUCAGUUUAAUCAAUUAUUUAUUAAGUACAAUGACGUGUUUUGUAUUGGUAAUAUACUUUUUAUAUUUCUCAACUAUAUAUAUUUCUUUUGUAUUUUUAUUUGAAACUUUAUCUAAGUAUUGACGACUUUUCAAAAAUUUUGUAUAUCAGGAAGUUGUAUUCUGCGUAUAUAUAUAUUUAUAUUUUUUUUUUUAUAUGUGACAUUACAUUAGGUCUUUAGGAUAGUAAUAAUAUGAUAUAUUAAUUCAACUAAAAUUAGUCUUUUAAUGUGAAAAUUCCGAAUGGUUUAAUUUACUACAAACUAUUUGGUUUAUAUUAAAGAGAAAUAAUCAUAAUACUUAAUUAAUUUUCAAUUUAUACGCUUAGAUUAUCGUGAUUAACAUUGUUUUAUUUGCUACUAUCUUUUAAGUGUACUUUUUCUAUUUAGGUAAUGCUAUGAUCAUAAUAAUAAUAAAUGAUAGUGAAUAUUAUGUAUGUGAAAAAUAAUUAAAUUAAAUAAAGGCAUAGUUGGAAACUACCCAUAGGAAUAAUUCAUUUAUAGUGUGUUAAUAAAUAUUAAAGCAAAUAAACAAAAUUCUGUAGUUGUGUUUUAUUUGUGUGAUCAUAAUAUGGAUUGUAAAACUAAUAGGAAAACAUCUAUUAAUAUUUUUAUGGAAACUAUUCUUUUAACAUACCUAACUACAAAAUAUAUACUACAAUAAAUAAUUAUUUAAAAAAACUUGGUGUAUAUUGUUCAGAAAAUUCAGUUUUUAGUGUUAUGUUGAAAAUAUAUUAAGCUUUAGAAUUAUGUAUUUUAAUAUUAUACAAUAUAAUUUGAAUAUAUCAUGAAAUUGCUUUUAAAAGGGAAAAUGUUAGAAAUAAACCUUAUUCCCUGAGUGAUUGAAAUUGGAGAAAUGGUAAUUGAAUUAAAUAGUUUUAGUAACAUAGUGACACCAUUGUUAAUGUGAUGUAUUAGUUAUGAAAAAUAGUUAAUCUGACUAACUUAUAGGUAGUACAUAACGGUAAACGUUUGCCUAAGUAUAAUUUUUUUUUUUAUAUAUACUAUUAAUAAAAUACACAAGUGAAGGUGAUUAAUACACAUGUAUACUUAUACUUGAUUAAAAUUGUAAGUUCUUUUAUUUCUACUUUUAAAAAGUGCAUGGAUUUUAAUAUUGAACUAUUAUAAGACUAUGUUAGUAAUUAGGAACUUUUUUCUAUCUAAUUAAUUUGGUAAGCGAUUGUUAACUAAACUUUUUUGUUUUUAUUUGAUGCCAUCACUAAUUGUUGAUCUUGUUUACAUAUAGAAUAGAUGAAUUGUAAUAUUAUGUUAAGUGUAGGUUUAUUAGAUACCAUAGAAAUGUUAGCCUGUUAGGGCUUAUGCUGUCAGCAAGUGGGUUUAAGGCUCUCGUCACACCGCGUAGGUGAUCCAAUUUAGGGCAGCAAAACCUCGAUUUUCAAUCGUAGGUAGGUCAUCCAAAUGCUAAAGAAUACGAUUGGCACUUGACAACAAGUAAAAUGUCUUCCAACAUGUUGGAGGGUUGCUAAGACCUGAAAUGGUUGAUUAUGGGAACUCAUAAAUUAUAAUAUCAACCUGGCUUACAGACAAAGAACAGCUUAUCUAAAAAUAUAUAUUGAAGAAUAUACGACCAAUGCAUUUUAUAAAAUCUAUUCAGAUCGAUUGAUUUCCAGUUGUAUAUUCCACUUAAGUAUGUACGAUGUUUUACCUGGACAAACUUAAGUGUUGGUAACAUCCUGUAUGUUUUUUUUAUUGAAAUUGUGUGUUAUAUAUAAAAUGAAGUACAGAUAUUUUUGUAAUCGUUGUAUUUAAUAAAAUAAGAAUACGUGAAUGAA